UGGGGAAUAUUGGACAAUGGGCGAAAGCCUGAUCCAGCAAUGCCGCGUGUGUGAAGAAGGUCUUCGGAUUGUAAAGCACUUUCGACGGGGACGAUGAUGACGGUACCCGUAGAAGAAGCCCCGGCUAACUUCGUGCUAG
rnacentral:rRNA from 1 species